rnacentral:misc_RNA from 1 species
AAGUCGUAACAAGGUCUCCGUAGGUGAACCUGCGGAGGGAUCAUUAACACGUUUUAAAACACGUUUUAACACAACACCAACCAACCACGUGAACUAUUUAACAAUCCUGGAAAAGAGAGAAUUCUGUCUAUUUGCACACUAAUGAUGAGCUCUCGCAAGAGAGCGGUGUGUGUAGACUAGCAUUGCAGGCAACUGACUUUGUAAAGACCUUUCUUUUCUGGGCUAAAUGCCUCUCUCAUCACUGGGGCGAAAACACCACUUUCACUACUUCUAUAACCAUUGACUGUAUCUUUUUUUAAUUUUCUGCGCAAGCAGUAAUUGAAAAAAACCAUAAUCAAAUAUCUAAGCACAACUCUUAGCAACGGAUAUCUUGGUUCUC